CAGAGGAGGAUGUGGCGUCUAAGAAAACCAAUCAGGACAGUUUCCCUCGUCCCUUUAGUCCACCUUGAACUGGCUCAGGUCCAGAGACGUCUCUGGUGUUCCUGAACCUCUAAUGAAAGAGUGUAUUUUCACUUUGUUUUGAACCUCAGAGAGAGUUCAGUCCUAAAAACCUCCGUCUCUCAUGAAUGAGCAGAGUGAUCUGAAGAUUGCUCCGUAGUUUGUCUUUUGUUCGGAUUAGUGGAAACGCUCUCGCUCUGCGCUGCGUCGGAGGUUUAAAGACCUUUGAAAACCUUCUUUGUAAGUCAAUCACGCUGUUAUUAUUACAGGUUAUCAGUUCCUGUUCCUCUCGUCUCUCUCACUCCCUCUGAGCUCAGAAGUUCUCCCUGACUUGUCAUGUCAGGAGGACGUUGACGUCAGAUCCUGAUAAACUUCAGUAAUGAACUUUUCCUCGAAGAACUCGUUCACCUGGACCUCUAUUUUAUUCUCUGACCGCUCGUUCAGCUUCAUUCACAUCUCCUUUAACCUGCCUCUGUUUGUCCAGUUUCCACCAUCAUCCCCAUUAUCCCCUCCAUACUGGACUUCCUGUUUCCUUUUAUGGAGGACUUUGAUUUCCUGUUUCUAGGAUGGACUCCUCGAGAUGGACCGUCGGGUUUUUGAAGAGACAUCACAGCAUGAGAUUUCAGUCAGAUACAAAACAAAACCUGUGUGUGUGUGUGUGUGUGUGUGUGUGUGUGUGUGUGUGUGUGUGUGUGUGUGUGUGUGUGUGUGUGUGUGUGUGUGUUGGACUCGUGCUCGGGGUUAUGUAAGCCUUCAGGUGUUCAUUAAUCCAGAGGAAACUCAGAGACGGAGCAGAUGAUCACACAGAGGACUUCUGAGGUGUUACACUGUUUUGUGUGUUUAAAGUGUGUGUGUGUGUGUGUGUCUGUGUGUGUGUGUGUGUGUGUUGCCCUGUGGAGUCAUUUCCUCAUGGUGGGAAUCGUCCUUUAUUAAACACUUUAAUCCUAUUUUGACGACUCUGCAGGGUAAAACGAUAGCAGGCCAGGAAAUUAAACCGUGUGUGUGUGUGUGUGUGUGUGUGUGUGUGUGUGUGUGUGUGUGUGUGUGCAGGAAUGUGUUGGCCGCUCUUUCAGCAGCAGGAUGAUGAAUGAGAUGAAUGAACACAGUCUGUUUCGCAGGCGUCUCCGUCUCUCUGAUCGUUCCUGAUAUUUUUCACUCGUUCAUGUCGGAGGGUGAAUUCUGUCCUGAUUGAUCGAUGUUCUCCUGAUCUGCUCCGAAUCACUCGUAGAUAAAAACGUGAUGGACAGAAACUUCACUCUGCUUGAGACGGAGCGCUAACACAAACACGUCAGGCUCUCUUUAACACUUUUGACUGGGUGUUACAGUUUACACAGCUUUGUAGCUCUUCAAUAGCUAAAACUGACGUCUUUACAGGAAAGGUUUGAGGCUCGCAGUUGGUGUCAAGCCUUUGUUCUGCUGCGUUUCCACCGAAAAGGCUAAACACUGCAUGGGGUGCUACUUUUUACACAGCUAUGAAGUCAUGAAAUGACCAGAAUAUUUCUCAGGCCAGCUGUCAGUGUCCUCAUUAGCUCUGUUAUCAGCUGUUAUAAUGGUGUUUCCAGUCUCUGAGCUUCAUGAAGGUCUUUUAAGAUGAACAGCUCCAGGUUUCAGGACCAGCUGAGACUCUGAUCCAGCUCACCCUCGUCUUUGUUUCCAAAAGUGUCCUCAGUGAAGUGGCGAACACAAACAGCUACAACGAAGUAAUUAGUAAAUAAUUUCAUAUUUAAAUAUAAAAAAUGUCAUUGUAUGGUAAGAUAAAAAUUUAAUAUUUUGGUGUGAAAAAAAUAUAUUUUAAGAUGUUAUAGUGUAGUACGAUAAAGUAUAGGGUGAUUAAACGUUCACAUUUUAUUUUGGAAAAAUUUUGCUAUUUUGAUACUGGAAAUAAUGUCAUAGUAUAGUAUGUUAAAAAUUUCAAAUUUUAGUGUGAAAUUUU
rnacentral:lncRNA from 1 species